GAUUAAUAUAGUUAAUUAAUUCCUUUGUGUUUCAGUAUAUAUCUAAAUCGCAUUAAUCAAAUACAGUGGUACCUCGGUUUUCGACCGAACCAACAGUCACGAUUCUCUACAGCACAUUUUCGAACAAAUAUUGUAAUUUUAAUUUGUUAUCAGUAAAAAAUUUUUCUGUGAUAAAAAUAAGUAACUAAUUUAAUAAUAAAAUUAUUCCUUACAGCUUCCUUAAAGAUUAAGAAAAGGGAAAUAUGAUGACAAAGGGAGGACAGUUGUCCCAAUGUACGGGCACCCCUAUGCACGUUUAAUAUCCUAAGUAGGCUGUUUGCAGCUUCGUUAUUUAACUAUAAACUUAAGAAAAUAAUGCCAAAUUUAAUGCAAAUUAAUACAUUUUUUAAACAUUACACCCGCUAUAUUAAGCUAUGGUGCUAUCUGCAUCAGAUUAAUUCAUUAAAAUAAUACAAAUGUUUUCACAGUUUUCUACGAAACUAGAAGUGUGCAAAAAGAUUUAAGCUGUGAUUUAAUCAAUCAAUCGAUGCUUAAACCUCUCGUUUAUAAAUCUUCGCCAUUUUUAUUGCCGACAAUCACGCAAUACUCAGUUUACGAGUGUAUGAAGAGCCAAACUUCAUUUAUAACUCAAGAAACAUUGUUAUAGGAUAUUUUAAAGAUAAAAAGCCAAUGUCAUCUCUUCAGUCCAUCUUAACCUGGACUGCAUGCACACCUAAGGGAAACCACCUUUUUUGAGGGUGCAAAAUUUUUGAUAACAGUGUUUUCUUUGAUUGAUCUUCUUAAUUCUUUUUUCCACCUUUCUCAUUGAAAACCGAACCUUUACUUUUAAAUAAAUCUUCGUGGAUACGUGUAAUUGUGUAUUUUCUCUGUCGUAAAUGUCUACCCUGGAUCUAUAUGUUUUUAUGCUGACGAAUGGGCACAGGUGAAUUUCCUUUCUCAACUGCUUAAAUUGUGUGUAAAGUUAAGCUAAAAUACUCUUGAGAAAACAGGAAGAUCUUUCGUCUUAAAUAAAGAAAAAGAAUUUUUUAUGGUGUGAGAAAACACAUUUUAAAAAUUUCAAGUGGUGCCGACAGCAGUUUAAAGUUUAAGAGCUAUUGCUCUAGAAAUUCCACUCUUUUUGUAACAAAGUUUUCGUGUUUUCUUAUUUGUAGCUUUGUGUAUUCUUCACUUCCAUCUAUGACACUCUUCUGAUCUAACUUGUAAGUUAGACGUUUCUGCCUCGAAAAGGAUCUUGAUGUAAUAGCGGAAAAUAGAUGAUAUUCCGGUGUCCGGCUAGAGACAAUUAUGAAUCCGAUAUUCAUAAUUGUUUCCAGCAAGAGCAUGGAUCUUGAAAUUUGAGCCUGGUUAAUCGGAUGGGUUAUCAAUGCUGAUCGAUACCAGAAGAUUCUAAAAAACUUCUUGGAGUAGACUACAUGACAAGGGACUGGACAAAAAAGUUACGACAAUGCGCGGUCUCA